rnacentral:rRNA from 1 species
AUGCACGCUGGCGGCGUGCCUCAUACCUGCAAGUCGAGCGCACAGACGAGGAGCUUGCUCCUCUGACGUUAGCGGCGGACGGGUGAGUAACACGUGGAUAACCUACCUAUAAGACUGGGAUAACUUCGGGAAACCGGAGCUAGUACCGGAUAAUAUAUUGAACCGCAUGGUUCAAUAGUGAAAGACGGUUUUGCUGUCACUUAUAGAUGGAUCCGCGCCGCAUUAGCUAGUUGGUAAGGUAACGGCUUACCAAGGCAACGAUGCGUAGCCGACCUGAGAGGGUGAUCGGCCACACUGGAACUGAGACACGGUCCAGACUCCUACGGGAGGCAGCAGUAGGGAAUCUUCCGCAAUGGGCGAAAGCCUGACGGAACAACGCCGCGUGAGUGAUGAAGGUCUUCGGAUCGUAAAACUCUGUUAUUAGGGAAGAACAAAUGUGUAAGUAACUAUGCACGUCUUGACGGUACCUAAUCAGAAAGCCACGGCUAACUACGUG